CCCUGGGAGACAGCACCCCCCCACCCCUGAGAGAGAGAUCGACAGAGAAGGGGACAAGAUGCAGUCAGAGAAACCCCAAGGGUCCUGCCUCUUACAAUAUGAGCUGUCAAGUUAGAUGCCUACACUUGGUAAAUCUACUCUGUUUUAAGUAAAAACAACAAGAAGAAACAAAUCUGAAUAUGCUAGCCUAUCUCAGGUCUGGUCAGCUGCUUAUGACCUUGUUCCCCACUGAGCAGACUCACCAUCUGGGCCUUGGCGGGCAGCAGCAUGCAGUGCCGUGUC